GUUUCCGAAAUUUAGAAGCUGUCGAUUCUACUUCAACAACAGGAUUAAAUUCAGGAUGGUCCUUGCGAGCUUGUUCGAUGAGUGUCCCACCCUGCUCACGCAUUCUAACUCCUGCUCGAUAGAACAUGGUAUCCUUUCGAUUCUUCGCCUAUGUUAGAGCAACAAUAUCAGAAGAUCAGAAUAGUAGAUGAAGCAACUUAUCUAUUACAAAUGAAUUGAACUAAUUCAUACCUGCAUUGUGGAUAGAUCCAUGGGGUGUGAUACUAUGUCGAGAUAAUCUGUUACUUGUUCAGUAUCAACUGGUUGACCAAAUACAUCAUUUGUAUCCCUGGAUUUGAUCCCCUCCAGAAGUGAUCUGAGCACACUUUCCAGUGGACGAAGCUCAUACCACAUACACUUCUCCUUUCUAUAAUGAAAGAGUAUGAAUUAUGGUUUGUUUCACUGAAAAUUGGAUUGAACUACGUAAUUUGUACUCUACAUUCUACAGAUAGAAUCAAAUUAAAGCUUACUCACACUUUGAA